AGGGAGGAGGGUGUGAUGUGUUGGUUAAUAUAAGCAAAGUUAUGAAGGAGCAUGUGUUUUGGUUUAUGGGGUAGUGGUGAGUUUGCAGAAAGGAGCAAUAUUUUUUGACAUUUGAGAGAUACAGAAUACAGCUUUGAGAGUUGCGAGGAGAGCAAGCUUACACUUCUUGCAGUCUCCAAAGCAAAAGGUAUUUUUCUAAUUAUAUUUGCCUACCCUUUGUUCUUUUCCUCUUUGUUUUGGGGUGUGUUUGGAUUUGAAAGAAAUAGAGAGAGAAAAUGGGGGUCUGAUAAAUUGGUAUAAUCUGGUCUGGUUAGUUGGUAUAUGGCUCUAUCUUCAAUGGUUCACAGAGCUGUAUACAGAAAAAGCAUUUUGGUUAAGAGGUGGUGUUCCUUUUUAAGUACUUGUUUUCGGGAGCUUUUAUUUUUAAGUUACCAUAGAGGUCACGGGUUCGAGCAAUAUAAACAGGCUCUUGUAAAAAUAUAAAAUUAGACUGCGUAUAAUAAAUCUUUAUGAUCUAGCUUUUCCCGACCUCGUGUAUAGCGAGAGCCUAGUGCCACCGGGCUGCCCUUUAAGUGGUGUCCCUUUUUAAGUGAGUACUUGUUUCUGGAACUUUUAUUUUUAAGUCAUAGUGGAGGUCAGGGGUACGAGCCGUGAAAACAGCUUCUUACAUAGAUACAAAACAUACAAUAUAUUCUUGUAGUAGAUUCUUGUGGUCCGUUAUUUUUUCGAAUUCGUGUAUAGCGAAAGCCUAGUAUACCGGACUGCUUUUCAGUGGUGUCCCUUUUAAGUACUUUCUUGCCGGAGCUUUUAUUUUUAAGUCACUUUCUUUUUGUAUUUGGCUUUUUGGCUCGUGGGCUGUUGAUGGGCUACUGCUGUUCCUCUAGUGUUUAUUUUUAUUCCCACUUUUUCUUAUUCUGUAAAUUAAAAUAGUACAGUAUUUCCUUUUGCCUGUUUGCACUUUUACCCAGACAACCUUCUCAUGCAUGUGAAAAUGAUAUAAAGCAGUAUUGCCCCCUCACUGUUCUUUAUUAAUGUAAAAAUAUCUUCUAUAUAUAUUCUGGAAAUGGUGAAUAUGCAACAACUGACUGGGGCAUUGAUGGGGCAUUGUGACAACAACAGGAACUAAGGAACAAGGAAGCUAUG
rnacentral:lncRNA from 1 species